CCGAGUUUACAAACUCCCAAACCCUUUGUGAACCUUACCAUAUCGUUGCUUCGGCGGGACCGCCCCGGCGCCCCUCGGGCCCGGAACCAGGCGCCCGCCGGAGGCCCCAAACUCUUAUGUCUUUAGUGGUUUUCUCCUCUGAGUGACACAUAAACAAAUAAAUAA
rnacentral:misc_RNA from 1 species